rnacentral:rRNA from 1 species
UCCUGGCUCAGGAUGAACGCUGGCGGCGUGCCUAAUACAUGCAAGUCGAACGCUUCACUUCGGUGAAGAGUGGCGAACGGGUGAGUAAUACAUAAGUAACCUGGCAUCUACAGGGGGAUAACUGAUGGAAACGUCAGCUAAGACCGCAUAGGUGUAGAGAUCGCAUGAACUCUAUAUGAAAAGUGCUACGGGACUGGUAGAUGAUGGACUUAUGGCGCAUUAGCUUGUUGGUAGGGUAACGGCCUACCAAGGCGACGAUGCGUAGCCGACCUGAGAGGGUGACCGGCCACACUGGGACUGAGACACGGCCCAGACUCCUACGGGAGGCAGCAGUAGGGAAUUUUCGGCAAUGGGGGAAACCCUGACCGAGCAACGCCGCGUGAAGGAAGAAGUAAUUCGUUAUGUAAACUUCUGUCAUAGAGGAAGAACGGUGGAUAUAGGGAAUGAUAUCCAAGUGACGGUACUCUAUAAGAAAGCCACGGCUAACUACGUGCCAGCAGCCGCGGUAAUACGUAGGUGGCGAGCGUUAUCCGGAAUUAUUGGGCGUAAAGAGGGAGCAGGCGGCACUAAGGGUCUGUGGUGAAAGAUCGAAGCUUAACUUCGGUAAGCCAUGGAAACCGUAGAGCUAGAGUGUGUGAGAGGAUCGUGGAAUUCCAUGUGUAGCGGUGAAAUGCGUAGAUAUAUGGAGGAACACCAGUGGCGAAGGCGACGAUCUGGCGCAUAACUGACGCUCAGUCCCGAAAGCGUGGGGAGCAAAUAGGAUUAGAUACCCUAGUAGUCCACGCCGUAAACGAUGAGUACUAAGUGUUGGGGGUCAAACCUCAGUGCUGCAGUUAACGCAAUAAGUACUCCGCCUGAGU